rnacentral:lncRNA from 1 species
UCAAAGAUCAAAUUUCUAGCAAUUUAAAUAUUCUUUUGAUGAUUAUUUUCUUUCACUUUUUUCCAAUAGCAUCAGUAAAUUUAAUUUCACUUUGAAUGCUUUUUUAUUUUAGUUUUUGUUAUCUUUGAUAUGUGUAAUUGUGUUGAAUAUUUCGUGAAGCAACUAUUCGAAAAAGUAAAAUUCUGGUAAGAGCUCACUUGAAAAUUCAUCCAUGCCUAAAACGUCGGAAAGGAGUAUGAUGUGGUUUGACAAAUAAGGCACAAAGCCUAAGCUAUAGUUUUAGUCUUUCUUUAUUAAAUUAUGCCAUUUUUAUUAAUUAGAGUCCUUUUUUAAUUUAAUUUGAUAAUGAGAUGCUGUAAUUUCACUUUUAUUUAGCAAAGGGCUGUCUCAGUAGCCUUGGACUUAUUUUUGCGUGGGAGUUUUUGUUCAAUUUAUUAAAAUUGAGGGGUUCUCCAAUUUUCUUAAUUGCAAUACAUAAGAAUUAACGAUUUGUCGAUCUACUCAAAUUUUGGUAUUCUUCUGCAAAUCAAUGAGUCUUGACUUCCUAAAUUCAACAUGUUUUUAGGCCCACUCUUUGUUCUGGGAUAUUUAUUACUUCGAGCUGCACCUAGGAAUCGUGUUAAACUAUCUCAUCUAUAGUGAUUAAAUAGUAAAAAAAAAAUGCUUUAUUCAUAAUUUAUCGUUAACCAAUAUAUAAUUCAUUUUUAAUUUUGUCAAAUGCUAGACAUAAUCAAAUUUUCAUAAAUAGAAGACCAAAAUUUAUCUUUUUCAUCAAAUAUUCAAAGGCACGAUUUUCUUUAAUCAAAUACUACUUUAAACUAAGGCUAAAUCAUUUUGCCUCUAUGUUGUAUAGGCUAGAAGGAAAAGUUGCCCUUAUAACAGGAGAAGCCAGUGGAAUUGGAGAAUGCACUGCAAAACUCUUCUCUCAGAAUGGAGCCAAAGUUGUCAUUGCUGAUGUCCAAGAUGAACUAGGUCUCUCAGUUGUCGAAGCCAUUGGCCCUAUCAAUUCCACCUACGUCCACUACGAUGUUACUAAUGAAGAUGAUGUCAAAAAUGCCGUGGACAAAACAAUUUCAAUCUAGGGAAAACCGGACAUUAUUUUCAUCAAUGCAGG